UACAGAGGUGGCAAGCGUUGUUCGGAAUUACUGGGCGUAAAGCGCACGUAGGCGGACUCUUAAGUCGGUGGUGAAAUCCUGGAGCUCAACUCCAGAACUGCCUUCGAUACUGAGAGUCUCGAGUCCGAGAGAGGUGAGUGGAACUGCGAGUGUAGAGGUGAAAUUCGUAGAUAUUCGCAAGAACACCAGUGGCGAAGGCGGCUCACUGGCUCGGUACUGACGCUGAGGUGCGAAAGCGUGGGGAGCAAACAGG
rnacentral:rRNA from 1 species